rnacentral:rRNA from 1 species
UGAGGAAUAUUGGUCAAUGGACGUAAGUCUGAACCAGCCAAGUAGCGUGCAGGAUGACUGCCCUAUGGGUUGUAAACUGCUUUUAUGCGGGGAUAAAGUCAGCCACGUGUGGUUGUUUGCAGGUACCGCAUGAAUAAGGACCGGCUAAUUCCGUGCCAGCAGCCGCGGUAAUACGGAAGGUCCAGGCGUUAUCCGGAUUUAUUGGGUUUAAAGGGAGCGUAGGCUGUUGGUUAAGCGUGUUGUGAAAUGUAGAUGCUCAACAUCUGAAUUGCAGCGCGAACUGUCCGACUUGAGUGCGCGGAAAGCAGGCGGAAUUCGUUGUGUAGCGGUGAAAUGCUUAGAUAUGACGAAGAACUCCGAUUGCGAAGGCAGCUUGCUGUAGCGUAACUGACGCUGAAGCUCGAAAGUGCGGGUAUCGAACA